CUGAAAAAUGUUUUACCAUUAGUACAAGACUAAGAGGUUCUGAACCUCAAAUCUUUAGUCCUGACUAUAGAUUUCAUUACAAAAAUUCAUCUAGGACAGACUUUUGGAUCACAAUCGUCAUCUAAGACAAACAUUUGGAUCCACAUUCAGCAAUAAGGAUGCUCAUUGGGGCGCACAUUGGUCAUAUUGUCGCGGGUUGAAAUUUUGCAGGGUUGUUGAAAUCAAAUUUAGGGACUUUACUGACGGGACUCUGGGCUGGCUGCUCUGUUCACUCGUCAGCGCAAGUGGCGUGACCAUGUAAUUGGGGCACGGGGCCGGCGCGGCGCGCUGCGGGCUUGCAGAAUUUUGUUUGUUUGUUUGGCCGCACGCUGGCGCAGCCACGGGCCGCGGUUACUGGGGCGCGCUGUCGUAACAAGCCGCGCGGUGUGGCCUGCACAUUGGGGUAGAGGGGGGGUAGUCUUCCCAGAUGUUCUAGUUAGUUGUUUAGUAAAUUUGACUUCAAUAACGAGCUUUUGUUAUGGUAGGCGCGGCAGGGCGCGCGAAUUUAAGCGCAAGUGAUUGGUGACUCGGGGCUCACUCAGGCGGAGGCUAUGCGUCUCACCUGUGGUCACGAGUUGUUAGUUCGUUCGUGAUGUAGGAAUUCAGGCUCACUCAGGCGGAGGCUAUGCGUCUCACCUGUGGUCACGAGUUGUUAGUUCGUUCGUGAUGUAGGAAUUCAGGCUCACUCAGGCGGAGGCUAUGCGUCUCACCUGUGGUCACGAGUUGUUAGUUCGUUCGUGAUGUAGGAAUUCAAGCUUUCGGGCGGAAGCUAUGGUCGACGCCAGAGGCCACGAGUCGUUUAAUUUAAGUUAGGUCAUAAUGUAGUCGUCAAGCUUUCGGGCGGAGGCUAUGGCCCUCGUCAGGGGUCACGCGUCAUAGUUUUUAAAAUGUAAUGUUCGUUCGGGAUUUCAAGGGCAGGAGAGGCCCCUACGUUAUUUUUUUAAAGUAAUCGAUCAAGAAAGGCUUUUCGGAAAAUGUGAGUAUGGACUUAUCUUUGUUUUAAUUUUAAGUAUUAAUUAUGAUUUGAGGUAUUCGGAAGGACUAGGGAAGUGUUUAGUGAAGUUCUCUCAUUCUCUCUCUUGUAAGGUCGUUCAAUCGUUAAGGAAGUAAAGAGAUUAUUGUUUUAAAUUGUAAUCCCGCUAUUUAAAUGUUCUUUAAAAUGAUGUUGAGUAUUUGACUUUAAGAAUAAAAUAAUUUUAAUUAAGUAUUAUGUUAUUUUGCAAAAUCUCCUUAGUUCAGCUCUCACCAGACAUCCUGUACGGGAUGACGAACCUAUGGUCCUAGGUACAGUAAAGUAUUUUAUGAAGUUAAGACUAGUUGAUGCCAAGCGAGUUGUUUCUAUGUAAAGAGCUACGAUUCUCGCCCCCCCCCUCUGAAGGUGGAUCGUGACAGAAAUGGUGGAGGCGCCGGGUAGGUUCUAUUUCUGGAGAGAGAGAGAGGUAGAUUUUUAUGUUUAUUAUUAAGUUAGUUUCAGCUUCUGAUAGCAGGUUAUUAAGAGUUUACUUGAGGAGAGGAUUACGGAAUUUUAGUCUAUAGUGGAGGAAGUCUUUGAGAUUUUUUUUUUGACGUAACAGAUGUUUAUUUGAGGAUACUUGUAAGGAUAAAGUUUAUAGUGAUAAGUUGUUUUAAGUCGUUGAAUUUAUUGUAGAUUUAUAUCGGGGAUUAUUACGUGAGGAGAAUACGUUAUAAGUUAAAUGCUUAUUAGAGAUAAUGCAAGUGGUUUAAUUUAAUUGAAGUUCAUUUUAAGAUUGUAGGUUAAGAGAGUUAAAAUUUAAAAUAAAGUUUUUUUCGUAAAUAGGAAUUAUUUUCAAGUCAAGUUUGUUUUGCUGUCGUGCGCUUAGGAGACGAGACGUACGAAUUAAAUCAGUCGAGGGAAGGAUAAACGUUAGAAAGGAAUUAAAGAGAAAACGAGAGUUUAUGUAAAAGAGAGUUAUAGAAUUUAUAGUGAUGUUUUGUUUUAAUUAGAAAAAUGUUGAGAGUUGUUUCAGAACGACACGUCAGUGGACGUGGCAGAGUGAACACGUGACGGGGAGGUGCUGAGACCUAGCGGAGAACGGAGGAACCGCAAGCGAGGGUUGGCGCACCUGAUGGAAUUCGGUGACGUCACGGGCUCAUACGGAGACGUGGACAGGCCGUGACCUUGUUUUGAUCAGCUGUACGGUAACUUAGCGAUAAGAAAAUAGACUAUUGGUUAAAUAAAUUUAAAUUUAAGUGUGUUUUAGAAGAAGAGGAACUUUCAGUAUGUAAGUAAUUUAAUUUAAGAAGUGUAUGAUGUAUAGGCUAGAAGUGUUUCGUUGUAAGUUGUUUAUGUUUUUGUUAGUUAAAUUCUACCUCGGUUUUAAAAAUAUUUUUUUGGGAUUUGUAAACAUUAUUAAGGAGGUACACUAUAAAAUCGAUAAGCAUUAAGAAAACUGGGAAGGCUAGAUUUUGUGUGUAGAGGGAAUUUACUCCAAAAGAACAGAGAGACAAAAUUAAUGUUUUCAUUAGGGCGAGGGACCCUAAGGUGAGGCGUUGUGUCCCUGGGAAGAAAGGGAAUUGUAGCGCAGACCAUAGGAGAUGGGCUGACUACGGAAUUAAGGGUCAGGAGAAUCCUGAGAGUUGUGAGUAGUUUGGGGCAGGAGUUCCCCAUGGUAGUACCGAAGUGGCUAUCCUGUAUGGGAUAGGGUACCAUUUCAAUGAAGUUUGUUGGUGGGGUUAGAGCCCCCUGUGUAGUGGGCCUAUAGCAGAUAGGCACUACAGUGAAAUUUUUGGUUAUUUUGUGAGGUAAAUUCCCUGGAGGUUAAGUAAGAUUGGAUUCAGUUAGGAAGGAGGGAAAUGAGAAACAUUGCUGUAGAGAGUUAGUGUACUUGCCUAAUGUGAAAUUGAAUUUUACUAAAUUAAUUUAGGAGAAAGUUUUGUUCGGUAAAUAAAUAAUAAUGGAAGAUAGCUAGAUAAUUAAUUAAUUUUUUUUUGAGUAAGGUGUUUUAAGUAAUGAAAUAAAAUAAGGUGAAGUAAUUUGAAUAAUUGGGGAGGAGUUUCUUUAAGAGUUUAGAUAAUUGUUUUUGAAUUUAUUGAGAUAUUCAGCCAGUGAAGUUUGAGUGUGAGAGAUACAGUGAGAUUUUAAGGAAAUCGGUUGUUUAUUAAUUAGGACAAAUGAGAUUUUAUGAUUAAGAGUCAGUAAGCAUAGUUAAAAUUUACGACAUGAUAUUUGUUGACAGUUUACAGUUAUUAAGGAGAAAACAGAGUAAUCUAUUUAUUUUUAUUUUAAUGGUUUGAAGAUAAGAUUAUGAAUUUUUUUUGGAAGUUUCUUUGGCAUGUUGGAAUAAUUUUUUUUGAUUUUUAGAAUUUACAGAGAAAAUUUAAUUGAUUUACAUUAGUUUGGAAGUAUGGAGGUUUAAUGUUCGAUUAGCCCUAACUUGAUGGUCGGAUCCCAAAAGAAUGCCGUAAAACCGAUAGCCAAUUGAGAGGAAUGCGGUAGGCGCUUGUGUAGAGAGGGGUUGUGGGAAAACUCCUUGGGACUGAUGGCAGAUCAGGGGCCCUAAAUAGUGUGUGAUGCUGUAAAACCAGUGCAGGGAAAGCCUGGUAUGCUUAAAUUUUUGGGCACAGGUUAUGUAAACCUGGGGUUCCAUGGGAUUUAGUCAUGUUAGCUGCUGUGGGACAUUGAGAUUUCCAGGCUCCAUAGUAAAGUCAAUGUAAAUUUUUGUUUUCUUAAAAUAAUAAAUUUGUUUUUAAUUUAUUUGAGAUAUUUGAUUUGGAACAGUGAAUACAGACCCCGAGGAAUAAGAGUCAUGCUGUGAGAGGAGAAGGUGGUAGGCCUAAAAGGGUACAGGCACCACAGAGGUUAUGUGCAUUGCAUAAUUUAAAUAUAAGGAAACUUGAGAAUUUGAAAUUUUGUUGUUGGGUUGUACACCCAUAAGAAGAGUAUAGGCAGAAUUUUUAUUGUUAUGAGAUGUCUAAUUUAAUUGAAAAGAAGAAAGUUUAAAGAUGCAAGGUAACAUUAUUAUUGUAAUAAUUGAAAGAGAUUAAGAGGUAGAGAGAAAUAGGCAGUUUUUGUUUGUAAGUACUAAAGUUUACAUAUAGAAAUUUAGUAACUAAGAAUGAAUAAUAAGUUAAGUCUAGUGUAAAAGUUUUUUUUAAGUUUGUUAAGUUAAGAGUCACAAGUAAAUUUUUUUUUAGAGAGAAUGUCUUUGAUAGGAAGUAUUAGAAACUUAUGGGAAUUUUAGGGUAACAUAAAUAAUGUAGGUAAUGAAUAAUAAAUAGAUGGUAGGUCUUAAGUUAGGAUUAACAUUUGAAGCAGAAUUUAAUUAAGAAGAAGGAAAAUAAAUAGGCCUAAUGAAAAGAACAAAAAAGGAUUUUAUGGUAAAGCAUUUUUUUUAAGUAAUAAACAAUGAAUAAUAAUGUUGUUUCAGGGUAAUGUGUACUAAUAAUACAAUUGUUUUUUUUAGGACCAAAGAACAGGAAUUAUGUAAUUUAAAUUAACAUGUAUUUUUGAAACUGUUACAGAUUCCUUAAGAUGAGCUGAGCAGCAGUCCAGUUUACAAGAUGACAAGAGUUCGAGAGACAAGAUACAAGAUCACUGAAACAAGAGCCAAGACUGAAGAUUCAAGAGAAGAGAAAGCUGGCAGCCAUGGACUUACAAGUGGAGAUUAAUAAGGUCAUGUAAAGUUUUAUUUUUUUUUAUGGAAGACAGUAACUGGAGUUUUUUUUUGUUAUAAACAUUAUUUACAGAACUUUUUAGGUUAUAGUAAUGUAAUGGAACUAGUGAGUUGUGGUAGCUGUCAAAAAGAACUAAUACCUUAAGUUUAAUUUUUAAAGUUAAUUUUCUUAAUUUACAGAGGGAUUAGUAGUUUUUUUUAAACCUUAUUUAGGUUGGAAUUUAAAUACAAUAGCUUAUUAUAAAUGUGUACGAACAGUUCAAGUUCACAGUACUGAUAGGUAGGUCAGAUGAUCUUAUAGAUUUUGAUGAUUUGUUGUUUUGAGUUGAUUUUUAAGUGUUGUGAAUUAGACAAUGAAAUAGUUCUGAAAACUUAAAUUAUUUCAAGCUAAGAAAUAGUAAAGUUAAUUGUAACUCAAAGGACACCAGAAUUUAAUUUUUUUUGAAUUAGUAAUGUUUGAAAAUUUUAUACUUUACCAGAAAGGUUAUAAACAAACAGAUCGGAUGGAACAAGGAUGCAGUAAAUCACAAUUUCAUUUAGAAUUAUUGAUUAGCUUUUGAGGUUAUGAAGUAAAAGUAAUUAUAGUUUAAAAGUUUGAAUAAAAAAAAAUGUUUUUUUUUAUUUGUUUGAAAUAGAAAGUUUAAAAGUUAAUUAGUCAUGAUCUAGGUGGGUGAUGGGGUGGGAAUUGGCCACUCUUUUUCCCUAUAACCUCCCUAACAUGGCCUUCUAUUACAACUAACAGAAAUAAAGAAGAAGAAAAAUGAAGAAUUAUUAGUUAGAAUGUUUUUUUAUGAAGAUACCUGAUGAACUUUUUUUUAUUGUUGGGAAGAAUAGUAGCAAGAUUAAUCAGAUGUUUUACUCAGAAGAAGAAGAAGAUAAUGCAGUUUUAUGACUCGACAAGCCAGAGAUUGGUGUUUCCCCUCUGCGCUUCUAUUGACUACGUUGUUUACUCUCAUGGGAUAGCUGGUUUGGCACCAUGGAGAGAGAUUGGUGGGCAUUGUGGUUGCCCCCAGAAGAAAAGAAGAGUAGAAGAGGUUAUGGGUGGGUCAUGUGAACUGACCUUCAACCCAGUUACUUCGUGGGGACUAUUUGCUGUAUAGAGAAGAUCAAGACUCAAGAGUUAGGGAAAAUCAUUGGAGGUCAUGUUUCCCUUCCUUAAGUUUUUCCUAUCAAAUUAUUUGCCUGAUUAGAUUAUGCUAAGGGUGGGAUACUUUAUGUUAGCAGUUGAAUUAAUUAAUUUUAUUUUUUUGUGUGUUUGCAUCCUUGCCCAUCGAUUGCAGUUUAGUAGUUAGUUUUGUAUUUGUCAGGCGUGAUGGUAAUGCCUGUUGAUGAUGUUUCAGAAUUGUAAUCUGUUCGUGAUGAGGAUGGCACAACUCCGAAGCAGAUGUGGGGAGAAGUUGUGAGCUGCCCUGGAAGCCAGUCCAGUAGCUGUUGGAGUUGAGUGGUGUUUGCUGAUGGCCAGCCCAGGGAGCUACUCUUCUCGACAACACUGACUUCGAGGAGUUGCACCAACCUUCACGAGAUAAGAGUUUAAUUAAUUGAAACACUGUAAGGACACUUAAUUUUUUUUGAAGAACGAAAGAAGUAUGGUAAUAAACGGAAACCGAAAAAAAAAAAAA